rnacentral:rRNA from 1 species
CACGUAGGGGGCGAGCGUUGUCCGGAUUUAUUGGGCGUAAAGAGCUUGUAGGCGGUCUGUCGCGUCUGCUGUGAAAAUCCGGGGCUCAACCCCGGACUUGCAGUGGGUACGGGCAGACUAGAGUGUGGUAGGGGAGACUGGAAUUCCUGGUGUAGCGGUGAAAUGCGCAGAUAUCAGGAGGAACACCGAUGGCGAAGGCAGGUCUCUGGGCCGAUACUGACGCUGAGGAGCGAAAGCGUGGGGAGCGAACAGG